GACGAACGCUGGCGGCGUGCUUAACACAUGCAAGUCGAACGAAGAGCGAUGGAAGCUUGCUUCUAUCAAUCUUAGUGGCGAACGGGUGAGUAACGCGUAAUCAACCUGCCCUUCAGAGGGGGACAACAGUUGGAAACGACUGCUAAUACCGCAUACGAUCCAAUCUCGGCAUCGGGACUGGAUGAAAGGUGGCCUCUAUUUAUAAGCUAUCACUGAAGGAGGGGAUUGCGUCUGAUUAGCUAGUUGGAGGGGUAACGGCCCACCAAGGCGAUGAUCAGUAGCCGGUCUGAGAGGAUGAACGGCCACAUUGGGACGGAGACACGGCCCAGACUCCUACGGGAGGCAGCAGUGGGGAAUCUUCCGCAAUGGACGAAAGUCUGACGGAGCAACGCCGCGGGAGUGAUGACGGCCGUCGGGUUGUAAAGCUCUGUUAAUCGGGACGAAUGGUUCUUGUGCGAAUAGGGCGAGGAUUUGACGGUACCGGAAUAGAAAGCCACGGCUAACUACGUG
rnacentral:rRNA from 1 species